GGCAGGCGGGCAGCGCGGAGCAGGCAGCCCAGCGCGCAGCCCACCGCCGCCCCGCGCACCUCCCGCGGCCGCUCGUGUCGCCGCCGCCGCGCGUGGAGGGAGCCCAGCAUGGCCGGGCCGGGCUGGCCGCGCCGCGCCUCCCGGGGGCCCGGGGCGCUCCUGGCCGCCGCGCUCCUCUACGCCGCGCUGGGGGCCGCGGUGCGCUCGGAGCAGCAGAUCCCGCUCUCCGUGGUGAAGCUCUGGGCCUCGGCUUUCGGCGGGGAGAUAAAAUCCAUUGCUGCUAAGUACUCCGGCUCCCAGCUUCUGCAAAAGAAAUACAAAGAGUAUGAGAAAGACGUUGCCAUAGAAGAAAUCGAUGGCCUCCAACUGGUGAAAAAGCUGGCAAAGAACAUGGAAGAGAUGUUUCACAAGAAAUCUGAAGCAGUGCGGCGCCUGGUGGAGGCUGCGGAAGAAGCACAUCUGAAACAUGAAUUCGAUGCAGACUUGCAGUAUGAAUACUUCAAUGCUGUGCUGAUCAAUGAAAGGGACAAAGACGGGAACUUUUUGGAGCUGGGGAAGGAAUUCAUCUUGGCCCCAAAUGACCAUUUCAAUAAUCUGCCUGUGAACAUCAGUCUCAGUGACGUCCAGGUGCCAACGAACAUGUACAACAAAGACCCAGCAAUUGUCAAUGGUGUUUAUUGGUCUGAAUCCCUAAACAAAGUUUUUGUGGAUAACUUUGACCGUGACCCGUCUCUCAUAUGGCAGUACUUUGGAAGUGCAAAGGGCUUUUUCCGGCAGUAUCCAGGGAUUAAAUGGGAACCAGAUGAGAAUGGAGUCAUUGCCUUUGACUGCAGGAACCGAAAAUGGUACAUCCAGGCAGCGACUUCUCCGAAGGACGUGGUCAUCUUAGUUGACGUCAGCGGCAGCAUGAAAGGUCUCCGCCUGACCAUCGCCAAGCAGACGGUCUCGUCUAUUCUGGACACGCUGGGGGACGAUGACUUCUUCAACAUCAUCGCUUAUAACGAGGAGCUUCACUACGUGGAACCUUGCCUGAAUGGAACGUUGGUGCAAGCCGACAGGACGAACAAGGAGCACUUCAGGGAGCACCUGGACAAACUUUUUGCCAAAGGAAUCGGGAUGCUGGAUAUCGCUCUGAACGAGGCCUUCAACAUUCUCAGCGAUUUCAACCACACGGGACAAGGCAGCAUCUGCAGCCAGGCCAUCAUGCUCAUCACCGACGGGGCGGUGGACACCUACGACACGAUCUUUGCCAAAUUCAACUGGCCAGAGCGGAAGGUCCGCAUCUUCACGUACCUCAUUGGACGGGAGGCGGCUUUUGCAGACAAUCUCAAGUGGAUGGCCUGUGCCAACAAAGGAUUCUUCACCCAGAUCUCCACGUUGGCUGAUGUGCAGGAAAAUGUCAUGGAAUACCUCCACGUGCUGAGCCGGCCCAAGGUGAUUGACCAGGAGCACGACGUGGUGUGGACCGAAGCUUACAUCGACAGCACCCUUGCCGACGAUCAGGGCCUUGUCCUGAUGACCACAGUCGCCAUGCCCGUGUUUAGUAAGCAGAAUGAAACCAGAUCGAAGGGCAUUCUUCUAGGCGUGGUUGGCACAGAUGUCCCAGUGAAAGAACUGCUGAAGACCAUCCCCAAAUACAAGUUAGGGAUUCACGGUUAUGCCUUUGCAAUCACAAAUAAUGGAUAUAUCCUGACGCAUCCAGAACUCAGACCACUGUACGAAGAAGGGAAAAAGCGAAGGAAACCUAACUACAGUAGCGUGGACCUCUCCGAGGUUGAGUGGGAAGACAGAGACGAUGUGUUACGAAAUGCCAUGGUGAAUCGAAAGACAGGGAAGUUUUCCAUGGAGGUGAAGAAGACAGUGGACAAAGGGAAACGGGUUUUGGUGAUGACAAAUGACUACUAUUAUACAGACAUCAAGGGUACUCCUUUCAGUUUAGGUGUGGCGCUCUCCAGGGGCCAUGGGAAGUAUUUCUUCCGAGGGAAUGUAACCAUUGAAGAAGGCCUGCAUGACUUAGAACACCCCGAUGUGUCCUUGGCAGAUGAAUGGUCCUACUGCAACACGGACCUGCACCCAGAGCACCGCCAUCUGUCUCAGUUAGAAGCGAUUAAGCUCUACCUCAAAGGCAAAGAACCUCUGCUGCAAUGUGAUAAAGAACUGAUCCAGGAGGUCCUUUUCGAUGCUGUGGUGAGCGCUCCCAUUGAAGCCUAUUGGACCAGCCUUGCCCUCAACAAAUCUGAGAAUUCUGACAAGGGCGUGGAGGUCGCCUUCCUUGGCACUCGCACCGGCCUCUCCAGGAUCAACCUGUUUGUUGGGGCUGAGCAGCUCACCAAUCAGGACUUUCUGAAAGCUGGAGACAAGGAGAACAUCUUCAAUGCAGACCAUUUCCCUCUCUGGUACCGAAGAGCUGCCGAGCAGAUUCCGGGAAGCUUCGUCUACUCCAUCCCCUUCAGCACAGGAACAGUCAACAAAAGCAAUGUGGUGACAGCGAGUACCUCCAUCCAGCUUCUGGAUGAGCGGAAAUCCCCCGUGGUGGCAGCUGUCGGCAUUCAGAUGAAACUCGAAUUUUUCCAGAGGAAGUUCUGGACCGCCAGCAGACAGUGUGCCUCUCUGGAUGGCAAAUGCUCCAUCAGCUGUGAUGACGAGACUGUGAACUGUUACCUCAUAGACAACAAUGGAUUUAUUCUGGUGUCUGAAGACUACACACAGACGGGGGACUUUUUUGGUGAGAUCGAGGGAGCUGUGAUGAACAAAUUGUUAACAAUGGGCUCCUUUAAAAGAAUCACCCUCUAUGACUACCAGGCCAUGUGCAGGGCCAACAAGGAGAGCAGCGACGCCGCCCGGGGCCUCCUGGAUCCUUAUAAUGCUUUCCUUGCUGCAGUAAAAUGGAUAAUGACAGAACUUGUCUUGUUCCUGGUGGAAUUUAACCUCUGCAGUUGGUGGCACUCGGAUCUGACAGCUAAAGCCCAGAAAUUGAAACAGACCCUGGAGCCUUGUGAUACUGAGUACCCAGCAUUUGUCUCCGAGCGCACCAUCAAGGAGACCUCAGGGAACAUUGCUUGUGAAGACUGCUCCAAGUCCUUUGUCAUCCAGCAAAUCCCAAGCAGCAACCUGUUCAUGGUGGUGGUGGACAGCAGCUGCCUCUGCGAGUCCGUGGCCCCCAUCACCAUGGCGCCCAUCGAAAUCAGGUAUAUCCUUCCGUGUUAGGCCCAGCUGCUGCUGCUGAUGGGGUAAGGGGAUCAACUGCCAGGAAAGCUGGGGGAGGAGUAAAUGAUAUCUUCCCACUGUUGGAGAGAAAGAAAUUGUCAAGGGAUUUUAGUGCCAACAUGCAGUGCCAAUGCAGAUUAGGGCGAAGUACCAUUUUGGAAAUUUGCCUUAACUACAGUCAACAUAACGAAUCUCUUAAGUGUGAGCGUUUAAAGGCCCAGAAGAUCAGAAGGCGUCCGGAAUCUUGCCAUGGCUUCCAUCCUGAGGAAAAUGCGAGGGAAUGUGGGGGUGCACCCAGCCUCCAGGCCAAGAUGGUCCUUAUCCUGUCCCCUCUGCUUCUGCUGCUCUUCUUAAGGUGACACUGACCGAGAUGUUCUCCCGGCAUGCUAAAUAAUGGAUAAACUGUGAACCAAAAUAUGGUGCGACAUAGGAGACAUGAAAUAUAGUCCAACCAUCAGCAUCUCAUGAUUUUAAACUGUGCGUGAUAUAAACUCUUAAAGACAUGUUGACAAAAAUGUUAUCUUUUUACUUUGCCAGUCAUGUAAAUGUGAGUUUGCUACAUGAUAACCACCCUUCAUCAGAAACGGGGCUGCCAGUGGGCAGUGUCCCUUCUGCUUGAAACCCACUGAAACCAAUUUAAAACUGUGUACUUUUUAAAUAAAGUAUAUUAAAAUCAUAA